rnacentral:lncRNA from 10 species
CAGGGAAAGAACGAGUUUCUCUCUCCUCACGGCUGCCUGGGACACAUGCGGAGUCGAUUGUCACAUUAAAAAGCCGAGGGAUAAGCAAAAACACAUCCAAAGCAGGCAGCCAGAAGGAAGAGAAGUCUGGGGUCCAAGUCACAGGAUGCACAUUGGAGGCAACUGGGAAUGCCUCCUCUGCAGAGGGGACAAGUAAGGAGCAAUACAGUCACUGAUUCAAACAUCUGGAGCACUCAAAGGCCUUUAGAUGUUGCCUUGGGGAAAAGACGAUACACAGAUUUAGAGUUCAUGCUCAGCUUCCGAGUUUUAUAAUGGAGUUUUGACUCUCACAGCAAACAUGAAGCAAAAGGUUAUUUUUGAGUCUCAAAAGCCUGACUUUUGAGUGUCAAAUAAAAUCAUGGUGUAUUUGUGGCAUUUCGUUUAUACCAGGAACAAUAAAUGUGAAAGGAUGUGAAAACAGUCAACACAGUUCAUCCAAAGUCCCAGAAGUCAGGGAGAGAAGGAUGCUGUGGACACAUACGACUGAGUGUGCAUUCAGCAUUUGAGGAUGUGUAUACUGUAUGUUGUGAAUGGAGUUUCAAAUUCAGGGACUGCGAUGCUACAGUUGAAAGAAAAAGAGAUGUCCAAGAAACAGAAUUAGAAAAACAAUUUUGGGGAUAAAUUCUUUCUCUAAUCUUUGAAAGCCUACCAUGUUCAUUUCCACUUAAAUAGAUAGAUAAAUAUCUCAUUUUUCCAUGGAUAGAACAGAGAUAGCUAAUUGUCUAUCUCAAUAUUUAUUUUCCACUUUUUCUCGAUAAAAAAAAUUAAUCAGUGCAAUCAUAUGCCCCACUGUUCUCCAACCGUAGGUAUGACCGUGGGUCCAAAUUCUUGCCAUUGAGAAAUAAGUAAAAGUGUAUCAGGUGCCUCUAGGAAAUCUUCUCAAAAGUUUCCAUCCUGGAACAUGAACGUGAUUAUUUGGGGUUUCAGCUGCCAUCUCAGAACAUGAGGACAAGUUCAUGCUCCUGGGCUUGUGAAGUGAAGAGUGGGAAGGGACCUGGUUACCAACAAUUUUGCCAAGUUGCCAGACUAGCCGCAGAAUUGCUUUUACCUGAGGAAAACACAAUUCUGUCAUGUUUAAUCUACCGUUAUUCUUUAUUAUGGGUUUUUCUGUUAUAUGCAGCCAAACCUAACCCUACCAAAUGCGGUGUGGUACCUGCUGAUUUGGAAUAGCUGAGAAUUAAGUAUUCUCAAGCUACAGUAGGAGACCAAGACACAAAACAGAAGACUGUGAAGCUAAAAAGAAAUGGAGAAGUCAUUUGGCCAAGCUGCUCUAUUUUGUAAACUUCAUCAAAUCUCUCUGGAUUAAGGCUGGUCAUCCAUAAAAUAAUGUCCACAUCUCAGCUUCCGAGAUGGUUAUGAUCUGGUCCCUUCCGCUCCAUCCUUAUUUCACAAUAUAGAAAUUAUCCUCAGGAACUGUCAACUCAUGUUAGUAUCUUGAUAAAACAUGCACAUCAUUUCCCCAUGUGUUAAUUAUGUGCCAGUCCCUCUGUUAAAAAUACGCUUUCUCUGCUUAACCAUUUUGCUCAAAAAUUCCCUUUUUGAUGAAAGCUGUCUACCUCCAAACUCCCAGACAGGAUGAUCACUUUCUCUUCAUGCUGUCCUUAAGAUUUAUGUACUUUUAUAUUAUUGGACUCAAACAUGUAAAUAAAGUCAGCAUCUAAUGCAAUAUUAUUUAUUUCUAUAUUCCUAGUACCCAGAACAGAAAUAUACAAUAAGUGCUGAACAACUGUUUGUUGAAUUGAAUCACAUUUCAUAUUAGGAAAUUAAGGACUCUGAAAAGGUUACCACACUGGGUUUUAAUGAGCAAAGAGAGCCAAGAUUUAUAUCAAACGUUCAAACAAAAGAGGAGAAAAUGAAGCAAAAAUAUUAAUUUUAAUGUUAGCCCCACUAACACUCCCCAGUUUUUCAUCUUCUUAAUUCAUUGGGCUUAAACAUGAAGCCUAUGGUCAGCCAGAGAUGCUGAUUGCCUUGGGAGAGCAUUGCUCCCAUCUCCAUGAGCCCACACCCUGCACUGAGCUCUGCUGACUUGUGUUUCCUUGAGGUUCCAAGGGCAGGCGGCUUAAAUGUCAUCCCCAGAAGAAUCUGCAGUGAGUCAGAACCAUACAUUCCAUAUGUCAGCUUUGAGUCCAUUCUGUAGGAAGAGCUGAAAAUGUAUCCCCUAUUCUAUUUUCUGUCCAAAAUUAUGUCCAGGCAUACUGUCUAAUGUAGCAUGUCAGAGAUUCCGCAAUGAGAUUGGACGCUAUCUUGAAGAUAUUCCAAUAACCAAACAUCUAUAAAGAGAUGCCUCUUAUUUGAAGACAAUUUCCUUGCUAUUAUUAAAUUCCAAGGAAUAAAUUUAUGUCUAAAGAUUAGAUUGCUUUACAAGUUUAAGUUCAAAGACAUGAAAAUCUAAAAGUACUAAAGUUUGAAAUAAAAUUCUCUUGCCCCAUGUAUUAAAAUUCAAAGUACAAAGUCCACUUACAAAACAAAUACCCUUCCCCUUCAUAUCAUCUUUUCUGCAGGCUUAGUUGGCAGGAUUUGCUGUCUGGGUAGAGUUGAGGUUCCUCCAGUAACCACCUGUCUCUCUCUGGAAUGGGUCUGGAGCUUCCAAAGCCUUUCAAGUCAUAGUAAUUCAAUGCCCAGUCUCUCAGGGGCCUUACUUUUAAAGAAUCAAAACAGCUAACAGGACUCACAAAAUUACCACACCUCUUUGUCACACGCACCCAAUUUAGAAAGCCAAUCUCCUGUGCAUAGGUCAAUUAUUCCAGGCAAAAUUGCAUUUCCAGAACCAGAGCUACCAGGACCCCAGUAAUCCUGGUAUCUGAGAGAAAAGGAAAAUCUUUCUGGAGUCAAUCUCAACAGACGUCUCUCAUUCAAGACCAAUUGUCUGUAUUCCAUGACUUGCUUACUUAAGCCCAGUGGAAAAAUAUUCUCCCAGGAAUACGUUUAUUUUGCAUUUACCAUUUACAAUUACAUUUCCAUAUCAGUUUUUUAACUUUUAUUUUAAGUUCAGGUAUACAUGUGCAGGUUUGUUACAUAGGUAAAUUUGUGUCAUGGGUGUUUGUUGUACAGAUUAUCUCAUCAUCCAGGUAUUAAGCCUAAUACCCAUUCGUUAUUUUUCCUGAUCCUCUUCUCCUCCCACCCUCCACCUUCUGGUGGGCUCCAGUGUCUGCUGUUUACCUGUCUGUGUCCAUCUCUUCUCUUCAUUUAACUCCCACUUAUAAAUAAAAACUUGUGGUAUUUGGUUUUCUGUUCCUGAAUUAGUUUGCUAAAGAAAAUGGCCUCCUGCUCCAUCUGUGUUGCUGCAAAGGACAUUGAGACUGUUUUACUUCCUUAUACCAUAUAUGAAAACCAACUCAAGAUGGAUUAAGACUUAAAUGUAAAACCCAAAGCUAUAAAAACCCUGGAAGACAACCUACGAAAUGUCAUUCUGGACAUAGGAAUGGGCAAAGAUCUAAUGGCAAAGAUGCUAAAAGCAAUUGCAACAAAGGCAAAAACUGACAAAUGAGAUCUAAUUAAACUAAAGAGCUUCUGCACAGCAAAAGAAACUAUCAGCAAACUAAACAGAUAACCUAGAGAAUGGUAGAACGUUUUUGCAAACUAUGCAUCAGACAGAGGUCUAAUAUCCAGCACCUAUAAAAAACUUAAAUUUACAAGACAAAAACAAGCUCAUUAAAUAUGGGCAAAGGACAUGAACAGACACUUUUCAAAAGAAGACACACAUACAGCCAACAAGCAUAUGAAAAAAAGUUCAGCAUCACUGAUCAUGAAAGAAAUGUAAAUCAAAGCCACAACGAGAUACCAUCUCACAUCACUCAAAAUGGCUAUUGUUAAAAAAUCAAAAAAUAACCAGUGCUGGCAAGGUUGCAGAGAAAAGGGAAUGCUUAUACACUGCUGGUGGGAGGGUAAAUUAGUUCAACCAUUGUGGAAUGCAGUGUGGCACUUCCUCAAAGACCUAAAAAUAGAACUAUUAUUCCACCAAGCAAUCCCAUUACUGGUAUAUACCAAAGGAUUAUAAAUCCUUCUAUCAUAAAGACACACACACAUACGUUCACUGCAGCACUAUUCACAAUAGCAAAGACAUGGAAUCAACCUAAAUGCCCGUCAAUGGUAGACUGGGUAAAGAAAAUAAGGCACAUAGACACCAUUUCUUUACAUUUCCAUUUUUGUGGGAAAAAAAAUCCAUCUAUGUUUCCUGUGUGCUUGCUCGGAGCAUUAAGAAAUAUAAAAUCAGAUCAACUUAGAAAAAAUGUUAAAAGUUUAUUGUGCACACUAAGAACAGUUCUCAAACUGGGAGACUUCAAACUGAAAGUAGUAAGAAGCCUCAAGAAAAGCAGCCACAGCGCAGAUUAUAAAGCACAAAGGAGGAGUAUUUUAACCUUUUUUUUCUUGCCUGUUGUAUAUUACCAUCCCUUUUAGGGAAGUAGAGUUGUUUAAGCUCAUUUGUCGCUAGUCGAUUGUUUUGAUUUCAACUGAACCAUGUUCAUAGAGCUUAUGUUUUGUUUCCGUCAUGAUUAGAGCAUUAUGGGGAAAUCAGGAUGACUUAAGUUUUGACUACAUGGUUAUGGGCAGUUGGCCCUGGGGUAUAUCUAAACUAUGGCCUUGGUUCUUCCUUCUUUUUUAAUAGUAUCAUUUCAGGCAUUUCUGUCUCCUUGCAAACUUGAAAUAGACACCUGAAAUAGCAGCAGCCAGUCCCCAAAAUCACUGUGGGUUCUUUCUUCCCAUCAAGCAUACCCAGAACCUCUAUUUCCAUUUUCCCAUAGAAUCUUAGGUUUUUAAGCCCUUGAUGGUGCCCUAGAUUCAGUCUCUAAUCCAUGCCACACCUGCACCAUCUCUCAGGGGCAGCCAUUCUUAGUCCUGUGCCACAGGGGCUAUUUCCACCAUCUGUAGCUAUGGAACUACUUGGGACAUGAAACCCAUCUGCUAGGAAAGACUUCUUCAUUCAUAAUUCAUCUUAGCUGAAGAAUCACCACUAAUAGAUUCCUGCACUAAAGCAGUUUUGUUGCUUCUGAAAUUAAAUUUUUGAUGCAUUGGUAUUUAAUUUCCCUGUGCUAGUCCCCAACCCCUUUCAAGGCUACUUGAGUUUCUUAACAAUUUAGUCUACUUCUUAAACCAGUCCUUUUUCUUCUCUAGUCUAUGUAAGAGCUAAUGCUGCCUGCAGGAACUGAGUGGCUCCCUUCCAUUUACUUUGUCUUUGCUUUCCGUCUCAGGCAAUUAUUUUUAUAACUACUCUGGAUUCAUCUGUGAGGUCUACCAUAGUAAGAGAGAAGAAAUCAACAAGCUCUCUGUUCACCGUUCAGAUUUUGUUUACCAUACUCUCAAUGACAUGGAUAAUCUCCCCAAGAGAGAUUCUUCCAUCAGACAGUUAACAAAAACCUGAACUUGGUCUCUGAUUGUCACAUCUACAUUUCUUCGUAUCUUUCUACUACCUUCCAUUAAGAUCCUAAUUUCAUAAAUUCAUCAACUAAGGUCAAUAAGUUCUCUCAGAGUAAAUGCAAUGCUUGUAUCUCCCCGUGAUGACUGUGUCACAUGGAAACUCACGUAAGAAAUGCUUUGAAUAUCUCUUAUGCAUUUUCUAAGUCUGUCCAGAUUUCUACAACUCCUUGGUACAGCUGUUCCAGUCUUUAAGUAGUAGUUCCCCAGUUGCUCCAAGUGAGGUCCUGUGGGUUUAGAAAGUCACCUCUCAGUGACUUGGGUUUUCUUAGGGUUAUCAUCCUGGACUUCUCUCUCUUGGGUUCCAUACACCAUUUAUGAUUUAGUAACAACAAACAUGUAUUUCCCUCUUUAAAAGCAGUUAGAAUUUAGGUACCUUUUUCUGCCCCUUGUAUGUUGGUCUAACUCCAUCUUCAACGUACCUUUCUCCCUGUAUUCUUUCUUAGUGAAUAAAUAAUCUCUUCCUCCAGCGUAUCCUGCCUACUUUCCUUUAUUAAUCUUCCUCUGUUUCUGGAUUUAAUGGAACUGAAGUACCAUCUUUUAACCACUCUAGUUUUUUCUUUUCUUGAGCAAAUGGGAUAAUUGGAGGCAACCAGUUGCAGGCACAGAACACUUUGAUAUCCUUGUGUUUGGGUUUCUAAUAAUGUCAUUUAGUUGAUUUUCUGUCUCAAGGGGAUAGCAAUUUCUUUCUAAUAAGAGUUCAUAUCUCUUAUUUCCUAAUUAAUAAAGUCUAAUGCACAUCUAUGGUGAAAUCACAAUUUGGGUCUCAGAUAGCAAGUCAGGGUUAGAACUUAAGAUAUUAAUGUAUUCAGAGCCAAUUUGGGAUUCUAUAAUGGGAGAGGGAGUCUUAAAAGUCUGUGGAAAUGCCACAUGAAAGGUUAGCAGGUGCCUUCACAGCCCUCCUUGAUCCUGAAAGAGGUCUUCUCUUGAAUCUGGAAUACCCAAUCUAGAUUAUCUAGCUGGUCUUGGUACUAACCAUGUAGACCUAGAGCCCCUCUAGUGCUCUGUUAUACAUGCAGAGCUAGUUGCCUUGCAGUUUAAAAGUGGCAAAUAUUCUUCUGACCACCAAUGUUUAAAAUGCCUGUAAAACUCUUCUCUACAAUGGAAUCUUGUCUCAAUUUAGGACAAGGUUGGUCUGUGCAUUAAGCCAAAGCAGUCUCUACCUGAAGCACCCAACACAGCUAAAGGACUGUGUCUUAUUUUCUCACGAGUUGCAUAAGUCAUAGGUUGCAGUCACCUGCCAAGCUUAAAAUUCCUCAUGACAGCCAGAGCUUUCUUCCCAGGCUACAGAAGUUCAAAGCCAAAUGCAAACAAGUAAAAAUCAGUUUGACCUAAAAUAAGUCUCUAUAAACUAUUAUAAGUCUUUAUAAACUAUUAUACUCAAUACAUUUAAUCCCUAAAGUCCAAGACCCACAUUUGUAGGCCUUGGAUGCACAAAAACUUUCUCCUUCCAAACUUUCUCUUUUAUUAUUAUUUCUCAAUGUUCCUGGUGAAUAUACCAAAUUUUGAGGUUUCUGAGGGUUACUCCCCAAUAAAUGGCACCAUUAUUCUAUGCUCUGCUUAGAACAAGUUGAGAUCAACAAAACAGAUUCAGUGGGAAGCCAAAAUAUAACCUGUUACUGAUAGAAAUUAGGCCAGAAGACACGGUUUUAGGUGGGGGCAGUGCUAGACUUUAGGCCUCCUUACAGGCAAGAAGCCUGACUACUUACACAUAGGCUCAUUCUCAACAGAAAAACAGUUGGAGCCACGUCAAGUAGGUUCACUGAUUCUUCUCAAAGAUGAGAAUUAAAUAAAAUACUCCAUCUCUCUAAGAGCUGGAUGAAUAAAGACAGGCCUGCAGUAACACUACUGAAGCUUACUUCCAGGAAAGAAAGAUUAGAAACAGGAAACAAUUAUUCCUGGAUGACAAUAACUUACAGUUAAAAUCUUUGCUUACUGCUUUUUAUAUUGAAAGUAACUUUUCUCAAGAUAUUUGUGCAAUUCAGAUAGUGCAAUACUCUCAUAGUUAGUUUUCAAUACCAUGUUGCACCUCAAUUUAAUAUAUCUCAUUUGUGGAAUAUCAAUGUUUCACAAUAUCAAUGUCAAUUCAUUUUUUAUAAAAUUUGAUAUCUGAAAGCCAAUUUUAAAAUUCAGUCUUCAACUUCACAGUUUGGGGAAUGGAUUCAUACUUAGGUCUGUUAUUUAAAUGUCUGGGUAUUCUUUUCCCACAAGAUUGUAGACCAGAUUAUUCCCAGACAAAUAGUUUCCUAACGAGCCAACUGCAGAAUGUGUGAAUUGGAUCAUAUGUGUGUGCAAUGCUUUAAGAAUGACCUUACACAAAAAAUAGUCACUGUUUAGAUGGGUUAUACAGUUGACCCCUGAAAAACAUGGGUUUGAACUGCAUGGGUCCAUUUAUAUGUAGGUUUUAUUUUGCCUCUGCCACCCCUGAGACAGCAAAGCCAACCCCUCCUCCUCAACAGCCUGCUCAACACAAAGACAGAAAGGAUGAAGACCUUUAUAAUGAUCCACUUCUACUUAGUAAAUAUAUAUUUUUAGAUAGUAAAUAUAUUUUUUCUUCCUCAGGACCUUCUUAAUAACCUUUUCUUUCCUCUUAUCUGACUUUAUGGUAAGAAUGUAAUAUACACGACAUACAAAAUACGUGUUAUCUGAGUAUUUCUGUUGUUGGUAAGGCUCUGGUCAACAUUAGUCUAUUAAGUUUGGGGGAGUCAAAAGUUCUAUGUUGAUUUUCAACUGUGACGGGUUGAUGCUCCAACCCCCGACAUUGUUCAAGGGUCAACUAUAUUAUAAACUAAGGAAUCCAAUCUUUGUAAAGCAGGAAAUGGGGGUAGAGAAAAAUUAGUAGAUUUUCCCUUGGAUGACAUGAACAAUUCAAAAAUCAUUUGCAUAUAUCCUUGUGUAACUACAGCAGACGCUUUAAUUAUGGACCCAAUUUAUCAACAAAGCAUUAUGCUCUCAAGCCAUAAGAAUCAAUCUAGUUCAUGAUGUUAAUUUCUCAUUCCAUGGAGGGUUUUGGCUUGCUUUUCAAAGAAAUUCAUGCUGAAUCAGGCAAUUAGUAAAUUUAAGUUUUAUACCCUUCCAACUGAAUUUAUUUUGUGAGGAAAAAAAUCCGAAAGUAAUAUCAACUACCACAGAAGAAUUGUCUUAGUUAUGUUUUCUAAUUUUGAUCAAUGUAUAUUAAGCUUAUUGACUUCCUUUCAAAAUUAAAAAAAAGUUGUGACUCAUGAGCACCAAGUUUUCAAAUCCUUUAUUAAAAUUAUCAUGUACAAAACUAACUUAAUUCAGUGAUGUAUUUUAAAUAUCUGCACUUUGAUCACUAUUAAAAACAGCAUAAAAUGAGUUUGUCCUGUAAGUUAACUGUAUUUUCAAAACAAUACUUAUGUUUAGAUAUACUUUUGCUAAUGUUUGUUUUUCUAAGUCAAUAUAUAUUGUACUCACUCAUUUAUGAAACUGACAUUUGCAAAUUGUUUUGCUAUUCUGACAAUUUUUCAUACAGUAAAUAUUAAUUUUACAAGAACAUAAUUUAUUUCAAUUAAUUUAAAAUCAAAGCCUGAUUAAAUUUUGAUGUUUUCUCAGUGUAUCAAUUUAAAAAUCAUCUUCAUACCUAAUCAUAACCUGUUGUAUGAUGUUUCAUAAUGAUAUAUUAAGCUGUAUUCCUUCAAAAUAGAUACAUUUUAUUAUAAAUUAAAAAUAUCCUUUACAUCUAUAAAGAAAUACGCAUGCUCAAUUUUUCUUGAACCAUAUAACCCUCUCUUACCUCUCAUUUUACACCAAUUUUGAUAAAAGGUUUGGUUAUUAGAAAGUUUAUUUUUCUCAUCUCCACAAUUUAAAAACAAAGAAAAAACUGUGUAAAAUAAUAGCUAAAACUGGUGAGAAAUGGAAAAUGCAUACCUAUGUAAAAAAGAUAGCCACUCCACAAUUCAAAUUAGUAACAUAAAGAUCAAAUUUGAUUUUUUAAGAAAAUCAAGAAGUUAAUGUUUUUGAAGUAUUUCUAUAUUUUUAAAUAUUGACAAUUAAUAAUUGAAAACAAUGUGUAAGCUAGCACUAUGUAAAUCAAAGAAAACAGACAAAUGUUAACAUGUAAUUAAUAUUCUCAACCCAGGAGACAGUUGAUUGUUGAAACAGAAACCUGAACACAUCAUAACUCUAAUACUUUUUUGUUUGUUGGUUUGUUUUUUUUUGAGACAGAGUCUUACUCUGUAGUCCAGGCUGGAGUGUGGUGGUGCAAUCUCGGCUCACUAAAACCUCUGCCUCUCGGUUCAAGUGAUUCUCUUGCCUCAGCCUCCUGAGUAGCUGGGAUGACAGACACGCACCACUACUCCCAGCUAAUUUUUUGUAUUUUUAUUAGAAACAGGGCUUCACCACGUUGGCCAGGCUGGUCUCAAACUCCUUACCUCAACUGAUCUGCCAGCCUCGGCCUCCUUUGGGAUUACAGGCAUGAGCCACUGAGCCUGGCCUACUCUAAUAUUCUUUAGUGGCAUCCUUUCUCACUUAAAAAAAAAAAUCACUGCAAUUGUCCUACAAGGCUCUAUAUCAGUGAUGGCCUGGAGAAGGGUUAUACUAGCUCACAAGAGCUGACUGUUAUAUUUUCCAUUGCUAGCUUGAAAUUGGCCAUGGUGAGAGUGUUUACACCAGAAAAACUGCAAACACUACAGAUCAGGACCUUUUAUUAUUGAUUUUUUUCCCUAGAGAGCCAGCUGCUAAACAUUUACCAGAAUACCAGUACCCUAUAUGAUCUAUCCCACCUCACCUCCAUGUUAGCUCAAUGUUCUCACCUCAUCUUUUGCCACUUUCCCAUUUGCCCAACCUACUCCACUGGCAUAUUCCUUCCUGCUUCAGGUCUUGCAUAUACUGUUUAGUUUGCCUGGACUAUGUAAAUUACUGUGUAACACAGUCUACCUAAAACAACAAACCAAAAUUCUCCACCUCCACAGCACACAUGACAUAGAAUAUUUUAUCAGUUUAUCUAUCUGUCUGUCUGCCUGUCUGUCUGCCUGUCUAUCUAUCUAUCUAUCAUCCUGCAUUCAUCUCUUCGUGAUAGGCUGUAAACUCCACAAAGGAAACUGAUGUCAAUUUUGUCCUGCUGUAUCCCCAGUACCUUAAAAAAGCCAUGGCAAACAGCAGGUGCUCAAUAAAUAUUUUUCUGAACAAAUGAAUGGAUAGAAGUUGCCCUUAGUGGUCUAAAUCUAAAUAUUUACAUUUCUAUCUCUUUUUAAUAGAAAUUACUUGCCAUGUUGAGUAUGAAGAAUUAUUGAUUUUUAAAUGCACAAAUAGCUGUUUUGAAUGACACCCAUGCUUUUGGUUUAAAUCUCUUAUGCUCAUCUGAGUAUACCUAGCCAUGAGUCCAUCUAGUCUGCCUGUUAUGGUUCAUUUGAUGACAAAUACAGGGAGAGAUGAAAGCAACAUCCAUCUACAAGGGAUAAAGGCCAGAGCUUGACAAAUGACUGUCAAAAUGGAGAGAGGGGUCAACUUACAUGCUAAAGGUUUACACCCGGUAUCUAGAAGAAAAGUAGUACCCUGACACAAGCAAUAAGCUAAGAGAAGUAGCUGGUUUAACAGAUGCUGGUGAAUUUGUUUUAGAUAAACCAAAAUUGAAAUGGCUGAUGGUUGUAUUAGGAAAAGCACCUCAUGUCUGGAUGUGGGAAUCAUCAACACAUGUACUCUUUUUGAACUCAAAACUGAGUUGUCUCAUGAACAGAAGUAGAAAGGGGGAAGGAGCAUGGAAAAGACAGAUAUUAAGCUGAUCAUUGAAUAAAGAAAAUUAGGUAGAACCCCAGAUAAUCCCCACUGCUGUAGAACAUGGAAAAGAAUCAGAAAAGAUGACAUCGAGAAAGGAACAAUGGGAAAGGUCUACUUUGGGCUGGAAGAGAUCAAAAGCUCAGUGUGGAACAUGUUCAGUUUGAGAUGUCUCUGAAGUAUCUGUGAACGAACGUCAGAUAGGUGUUUAGAUGCAUAAGUGUGAAAUUCAGCUAAAGUUUGAGCUCAUAUAAAUGGAGUUAACAGCUAAUAGAUGGUAUAUAAAGCCUUGGGCAUGUAUAAGGUCACCCAGGGAGAGAAUCUUAUGAGCAGCAGAGAGUCGAGAAUAAAGCUAUAUUCCACAUUUGAUGGCUUGGUAAGAAAAAGCCUGUAAAGUGAGCAGCCAAAGAUGUAGGCGAAAAAAUACAAGAGAAUAUUUGUCUCAGGGAAACCAUGGAAAAAGGAGAUUCAAGAAAGGGCAACACAUAUUGCUGAGGUCAAUUAAAAGUUCACUGGAUACAGAGCAAGAAUUCACUGGAUGGAGAUGCACACAUACAUACAUCCCUUUUAGACUAAACUGUAUUUUUGAAGUUAUAAGAAGGAAAACCAGAUUAAAAUGGAUUGCAAACUAAGAAAAUGUAGGCAAUAUGAACAGAAAACACUUAAAAAAUGUGUAAAGAGUAGAAAGAGAGGGUGCAAGAUGAGGAUGUGAGGUAUAUGAAUGAUUUUUUUUU